AUUGAACGCUGGCGGCAUGCCUUACACAUGCAAGUCGAACGGCAGCACGGGUGCUUGCACCUGGUGGCGAGUGGCGAACGGGUGAGUAAUACAUCGGAACAUGUCCUGUAGUGGGGGAUAGCCCGGCGAAAGCCGGAUUACUACCGCAUACGAUCCACGGAUGAAAGCGGGGGACCUUCGGGCCUCGCGCUAUAGGGUUGGCCGAUGGCUGAUUAGCUAGUUGGUGGGGUAAAGGCCUACCAAGGCGACGAUCAGUAGCUGGUCUGAGAGGACGACCAGCCACACUGGGACUGAGACACGGCCCAGACUCCUACGGGAGGCAGCAGUGGGGAAUUUUGGACAAUGGGCGAAAGCCUGAUCCAGCAAUGCCGCGUGUGUGAAGAAGGCCUUCGGGUUGUAAAGCACUUUUGUCCGGAAAGAAAUCCUGGACUCUAAUACAGUCGGGGGAUGACGGUACCGGAAGAAUAAGCACCGGCUAACUACGUG
rnacentral:rRNA from 1 species